rnacentral:rRNA from 1 species
CCCUUAGAUGUUCUGGGCUGCACGCGCGCUACACUGAAGCGUUCAACGAGUAUUCACCUUGCCCGGGAGGGUUGGGUAAUCUUUUGAAAACGCUUCGUGAUGGGGAUAGAUUAUUGCAAUUAUUAAUCUUCAACGAGGAAUUCCUAGUAAGCGCGAGUCAUCAGCUCGUGCUGAUUACGUCCCUGCCCUUUGUACACACCGCCCGUCGCUCCUACCGAUUGAAUGUUCCGGUGAACACUUUGGAAUAGUUCUUAUGUGAGGGGAAACUCUUUGCUUGGAUACUGUGAAGUUGUGUAAACCUUAACAUUUAGAGGAAGGAGAAGUCGUAACA